rnacentral:rRNA from 1 species
UGGGGAAUCUUAGACAAUGGGCGCAAGCCUGAUCUAGCCAUGCCGCGUGGGUGAUGAAGGCCUUAGGGUCGUAAAGCCCUUUCGCCGGGGAAGAUAAUGACGGUACCCGGUAAAGAAACCCCCGGGCUAACUCCGUGCCAGCAGCCGCGGUAAUACGGAGGGGGUUAGCAUUGUUCGGAAUGACUGGGCGUAAAGCGCGCGUAGGCGGAUCAUCAAGUCGGGGGUGAAAUCCCGGGGCUCAACCCCGGAAUGGCCUUCGAGACUGGUGGUCUUGAGUUCGAGAGAGGUGAGUGGAAUUCCGAGUGUAGAGGUGAAAUUCGUAGAUAUUCGGAGGAACACCAGUGGCGAAGGCGGCUCACUGGCUCGACACUGACGCUGAGGUGCGAAAGCGUGGGGGAGCAAACAGGAUUAGAUACCCUGGUAGUCCACGCCGUAAACGAUGAAUGCCAGACGUCGGGGGGCUUGCCCUUCGGUGUCACACCUAACGGAUUAAGCAUUCCGCUUGGGGGAGUACGGUCGCAAGAUUAAAAACUCAAAGG